rnacentral:rRNA from 1 species
AGUGAACGCUGGCGGUAGGCCUAACACAUGCAAGUCGAACGGCAGCACAGUAAGAGCUUGCUCUUACGGGUGGCGAGUGGCGGACGGGUGAGGAAUACAUCGGAAUCUACUUUUUCGUGGGGGAUAACGUAGGGAAACUUACGCUAAUACCGCAUACGACCUACGGGUGAAAGCAGGGGAUCUUCGGACCUUGCGCGAGUGAAUGAGCCGAUGUCGGAUUAGCUAGUUGGCGGGGUAAAGGCCCACCAAGGCGACGAUCCGUAGCUGGUCUGAGAGGAUGAUCAGCCACACUGGAACUGAGACACGGUCCAGACUCCUACGGGAGGCAGCAGUGGGGAAUAUUGGACAAUGGGCGCAAGCCUGAUCCAGCCAUACCGCGUGGGCGAAGAAGGCCUUCGGGUUGUAAAGCCCUUUUGUUGGGAAAGAAAAGCAGCAGGUUAAUACCCCGCUGUUCUGACGGUACCCAAAGAAUAAGCACCGGCUAACUUCGUG